UUUUUUUUUCUUUUUCUCUGUUCAGAAAAAUAGAGAAAAGAAAGCACCAACUUUUCGCGAGAAACAAACACAUUGAUUUUUUAUUUUAUAACGCCAAAAAAUGCAGCACCAAAGGCUUAAACAACAACAACUAGCUCUUCUUUAACAACAGUCUAUCUACAACCAUGGCCUUCUUUUCCCUCCUAAACCACAAAACCUCUUGCAGUCUGCAAGUGAACCACAAGUUAGAGAGCCAAACUGCAAAAUAAAGACACUUCUCCCUCCGUUCUCCUCAGCCUUCCUCUCUCUUGGUUUUCACUUUCGCAAAUGCGUAUUGGAGAUUUUAUGACAUAAGUGCACAGGAUACUGAGGUUGUUGUAUGGUCAUUGAUGGACGGCGUUCCCUCGGCUCUCUUCCUUUGCUCAAUGGAGGAAAUGAUCCUACAGGACGCAUAGCAGGCGCCAAUGGUACAACUUCUGUGGUGAACUUGAGAGAAUUGCUCAUCUCUUUUUUUCAGUGUCCAAGAGCAGUUCAUGUUUGGUUUAUUACUUUUGAUGUUUCGGUCUUCCUUGUUGAAUGGGUUAACUCCUGAAAUUUGGUUGGAACUUUGCUCAACCUUGCAAUCAUUUGAUCAAAAUCACAAUCAUGUAGUUUGGCACUAACUAUGCCUUCCCAUCUUUUUUUCUACUUGAACAGCCAUGCUUAAGAAAAACAAAAUCAGGACUCAGAAGCAGGAACAUAUACAGCUUUUUCCACAGUUACAGGGAGUUGAAUCUCCCGUUCAAUUUAUUUCUUCAUAUGAAAGUCAUAUUUCAGGAACAGAA